AAAAGGAAUAAAAAGGAAACAAAUAACAAAGACCAAGCCCAGCCCAAAGAAAGCGCACGUUAUGCCUGUGACGGGCGUCACAAAGGUUGUGACGAGCGUCACACUAAGCACACUCUUGUGACGAGCGUCACACAUGGUGUGACGGACGUCACACCAUUCCCCUAUAUUUUUGGCGCUAGGAACUCAACUGACCACGUUGAAAGCUAUUUCCACGCACGCUUAACCCUCGGAACGAAAAGACCGCGCAUACGGAAACCCUUGGAAAGCAGUUACACCAGCAGCUGUAUAAAUAGCAGCUAAUUGGGAAGUUCCAGGUCCUCCGGUUUUUUCACGCUCAGAUUGCCGAAGCUCUGCCCAUUUUUCUUUUCACGCUUUUGCUUAUUUUUCUUUUCCAGCACUUAACAUUGUUUAUUUUAUUUAUUUCUUCUGCAAGUUCUACAUUCUUUUUCCCUUGCAAUUUACCUUUCCCUUUUUGGCAUUUAGAUAUUUUUCGCAUAAUAGCUUCUACACCGGAAACUAUUGUGCAACUUUUUAUCGGAU
rnacentral:lncRNA from 1 species